rnacentral:rRNA from 1 species
CCUACGGGUGGCAGCAGUGGGGAAUAUUGGGCAAUGGAGGAAACUCUGACCCAGCAACGCCGCGUGAAUGAUGAAGGUCUUCGGAUUGUAAAGUUCUUUUCUCAGGGAAGAAGAAUGUGACUGUUCCUCAGCAAUAAGCCUCGACUAACUACGUGCCAGCAGCCGCCGUAAUACGUAGGAGGCGAGCGUUAUCCGGAAUGACUGGGCGCAAAGGGUUCGUAGGUGGUAUGGCAAGUUAGUGGCGAAACUCCAGGGCUCAACCUUGGAACUACUCCUAAAACUGUUGGACGGGAGUGCGGGAGAGGAGAGCGGAAUUCCUAGUGUAGCAGUGGAAUGCGUAGAUAUUAGGAGGAACACCAGGGGCGAAGGCGAGUUGCUAGAAUGUAACUGACGCUGAGGCACGAAAGCGUGGGGAGCAAACAGGAUUAGAUACCCGUGUAGUC